UUCGGGUGACAGGGUGACAGGUGGUGCAUGGUUGUCGUCAGCUCGUGUCGUGAGAUGUUGGGUUAAGUCCCGCAACCGAGCGCAACCCUCGACCUUAGUUGCCAGCAGUUCAGUUGGGCACUCUAAGGUGACUGCCGGCUAAAAGUCGGAGGAAGGUGGGGAUGACGUCAAGUCCUCAUGGUUCCCUUACAUCCCGGGCUACACACGUGCUACAAUGGCAGGUACAGAGGGCUGCGAAGCCGCGAGGUGGAGCGAAUCCCAGAAACCUGUCUCAGUCCGGAUUGAAGUCUGCAACUCGACUUCAUGAAGGCGGAAUCGCUAGUAACCGCGAAUCAGCAGGUCCGCGGUCGAAUACGUUCCCGGGCCUU
rnacentral:rRNA from 1 species